rnacentral:rRNA from 1 species
UACGUAGGGUGCGAGCGUUGUCCGGAAUUAUUGGGCGUAAAGAGCUCGUAGGCGGCCUGUCGCGUCGGAUGUGAAAGCCCGGGGCUUAACCCCGGGUCUGCAUUCGAUACGGGCAGGCUAGAGUUCGGUAGGGGAGAUCGGAAUUCCUGGUGUAGCGGUGAAAUGCGCAGAUAUCAAGUGGAACACCAGUGGCGAAGGCGAGUCUCUGGACAUUUCCUGACGCUGAGGCACGAAAGCCAGGGGAGCAAACGGG